rnacentral:rRNA from 1 species
UACGUAGGGAGCAAGCGUUUGUCCGGAAUCAUUGGGCGUAAAGCGCGCGUAGGUGGCUCCAUAAGUCCGUUGUGAAAGUCAAAGGCUACAACCUUUGAAAGCCGGAUGGAUACUGUGGGAGCUAGAGUACGGAAGAGGCGAGUGGAAUUCCUGGUGUAGCGGGUGGAAUGCGCAGAUAUCAGGAGGAACACCCGUGGCGAAAGCGGCGCGUGGACCAACUACUGACGCUGAGGAACGAAAGCUAGGGGAGCAAACAGG